UUGACCUCAAAUCGGGUGGGACUACCCGCUGAACUUAAGCAUAUCAAUAAGCGGAGGAAAAGAAACUAACAAGGAUUCCCCUAGUAACGGCGAGUGAAGAGGGAAAAGCUCAAAUUUUGAAUCUGGUGUCUUUGACUCCCGAGUUGUAAUCUAGAGAAGUGUUUUCCGUCUCGGACCGUGCACAAGUUCCCUGGAACGGGGCGUCAUAGAGGGUGAGAAUCCCGUAUAUGGCACGAACUGCCGAUGCUUUUGUGAUACACUCUCAACGAGUCGAGUUGUUUGGGAAUGCAGCUCAAAAUGGGUGGUAAAUUCCAUCUAAAGCUAAAUAUUGGCGAGAGACCGAUAGCGAACAAGUACCGUGAGGGAAAGAUGAAAAGCACUUUGGAAAGAGAGUGAAACAGUACGUGAAAUUGUUGAAAGGGAAGCGUUUGAAGUCAGUCGUAUCUGGCGGGAUUCAGUCGAGCUUUUGCCCGGUGUACUUCUCGUCCGAUGGGUCAGCAUCAAUUUCGACCGGGGGAAAAAGAUGUGGGGAAUGUGGCUGUCUUCG
rnacentral:rRNA from 1 species